UGUCAUAGUCCAAGCUAUUCUACAACCAACCGAGCUACAUAACUAUACAAAGAAAAAGAAUCAUGAAAACCCAGAGUUACAACUAACAUCAUUUCGUCAUAUGCAUAAAAAAUGAGGCAAUUAGUUGAAGCAGUUGAACUCAAGCUGAUUUUCCCCUCCAAAUUGCUUGAAACCCUCCCAAAGCCCUUAGUUGACCUAACAAUGAAUAAACUUCUUCACUCAUUGGAGCCAUGGAAGGUAUGAAUUAGG
rnacentral:lncRNA from 1 species